rnacentral:lncRNA from 1 species
CCCUUCCAGCCCCCACUCCCCUCAGGAACCCAAGGUUCCAGCCCUCCUCCCAAAUCCCAGCCACCCCUCCCCCACCAGUUUCUCCCCUCUAGGGGAUGGAGGCUGAGAGACCCCAGGAAGAAGAGGAUGGUGAGCAGGGCCCCCCUCAGGAUGAGGAAGGCUGGCCCCCUCCAAACUCCACCACUCGGCCUUGGCGAUCUGCUCCUCCGUCCCCUCCUCCUCCAGGGACCCGCCACACAGCCAGCCCUGGGACCCCGCUCGGCCUCCCUGCUCUCCCUGCAGACUGAACUCCUUCUGGACCUGGUGGCUGAAGCCCAGUCCCGCCGCCUGGAGGAGCAGAGGGCCACCUUCUACACCCCCCAAAACCCCUCAAGCCUAGCCCCUGCCCCACUCCGUCCUCUCGAGGACAGAGAACAGCUUUACAGCACUAUCCUUAGUCACCAGUGCCAGCGGAUGGAAGCCCAGCGGUCAGAGCCUCCCCUCCCCCCAGGGGGGCAAGAGCUCCUGGAGUUGCUGCUGAGAGUUCAGGGUGGGGGUCGAAUGGAGGAGCAAAGGUCCCGGCCCCCCACACACACCUGCUGAGACUUGAGCCCCAACCAGCCCUUCCUUGCCACUGGUCUCAAAGCUGGGCAGCCCAUUGCAUGCCCUCAACUCUUGCUUGGCAGGGGUACCAGAGACUGAAGGACACGGCACAAAUCUCAAUAUUCAUCUCCCACAUCACCUUCCCUGGGAACUGGACGGGGUGAAAGUCCUCAAACUCUGGGAACAGGCGAGGUGGAACGGGGAUUUAACUCCCCGCCCACAGGUCCAUGGGAGCUUGAGGCAGUAAGGGGGAUCCCAGGCACCCAUCUCAAGGAGUGGCUGGGAGUCUUUUCCCUAACUUGUGGGGACACCACCAAUUGUCAAGCUACUAGGCACUAGGGUCUGAGGGCUCAGGCCUCCACCUGAGAGGUUAUAACCUGAGAGACAGCUCUACCCUUCCUCCCAGUAAGAAGAGAAGGUGGGUGGGCACCUGAGAGAUUAAGACUAUUCUCCCAGUCCCACUACCAGCACCCCCGAUCCCUGAGACUGAGGGGUUUACGGGCUGUGAAUGGACCUUCAGCCCUGCCCACCCUCCCUCCCCACUGCUGCUGAGUCUGUCUGAUGUUUUGGUUGUAUGAAU